AGUGCGCAUGCGCGAGGUCCGAGCCGCCGCUUUGGUCACAGGGACCGCCACAGUUGCCCCGGGAUGGGUCCCUGAGACCUGGGAAAGUAGGAGCUCUGUGGGAUAGUGCGUCAGAGUCGGGGUUCAGACCAGUCCUGGCCAGGGAAGUUAACACCGCGGUCUCCGGAGCCCGGGAUUCGCGGAAGGUACACCACCAGGAAAAAACAACAGCAGCAAGAAAUCUCAGACAGAUCGCCGGGGAGGCAGCGCGGGAAUCCAGCCUCAGGAGUGCGCGGACGGUGUGCCGGUGGAAACCCCCUUCCCAUGGGGUGAAGCGCAGUCUGCUCCAGAGACCCACUGUUAGGGUCGGGGAUGUCACAGAAAUUAACAGGGCAGCCAAUUCCCAUCCAGAGGGGCCCAGGAUGACCCCGAACCCUCUAGCUCAGCCCCAAGCUCGGGCCAGGGAGUGAAGCCUUUGUCCCCAAGCAACAGAGUGAGGGUCUGUCUCUAACCCGGUGGGCUCCAGUGAAAGGAAAAUGGCCUGGAGGUGCCCACAGGAGGGCGCCCUAGUUCUGAGACAGGUCUACGGCUCCCAGACUGUGUCCCCAUGAGUAACAGAGGGACACGCAGAGGGGCAUACUGAGUGCCUAUAGGGGACUCACAGACUGCAGAUGCACGCUGCGGAUCCAGAAGCCGGUCAGGUAAUGAGGUGCAGAGGUGUGGGGAAGACCUGGGUGCCUCCCUGGGUGCCAACCAGCCUAACCAGCCGGGGCCACCAAACAGAAGUGCUUCUGACAUUAACGCGACACACAGAAGGUGUGUAGGGUGGGUAGUGGAAGUGACCGCAGAGGCCUCUGGGGAUUGUAGUUUUGGAGCUAGAGAGGCAGGCAAGCAGUUGGGUUCGCCCACACGGUGUGCCUCUCACAUCUGCACAGCGCACACAACCAAGCUUAGGAGCCGACUGUUAAGAUGCCCCAGUGACACGGACAAGUUUCUCCUCUGCAACCCAAUGAGAGCUGCUGACCACGAGAGCAUCGCGGGACCGCCAAAGGAUUCUGGAAAAUGUGGUCCCGGGUGGCCAGUGUGCGCUGACCUUCACCUGAAGGUACGGCUUGAAGGAAACUUCUGGAGGGUGGGGUGGUGUUGAAGAGAAGGCACAAUUGUCACCAUUUUGUUCAACAUGGGCGUUUUCUUUGUGCAUUGAUUUGCAUUUUUAAAGGUAUUCCAUUAAAAAUAUGUUUAUCUAUUUU
rnacentral:lncRNA from 1 species